GAUGAACGCUGGCGGCGUGCCUAAUACAUGCAAGUCGAGCGAACGGACGAGAAGCUUGCUUCUCUGAUGUUAUCGGCGGAGGGGUGAGUCACACGUGGAUAACCUACCUAUAAGACUGGGAUAACUUCGGGAAACCGGAGCUAAUACCGUAUAAUAUUUUGAACCACAUGGUUCAAAAGUGAAAGACGGUCUUGCUGUCACUUAUAGAUGGAUCCUCGCUGCAUUAGCUAGUUGGUGAGGUAACGGCUAAACAAGGCAACGAUCCAUAGACGACCUGAGAGGGUGAUGGGCCACACUGGAACGGAGACAGGGUCCAGACUCCUACGGGAGGAGGCAGUAGGGAAUCUUCCGCAAUGGGGGAAAGCCUGACGGAGCAACGCCGCGUGAGUGAUGAAGGUCUUCGGAUCGUAAAACUCUGUUAUUAGGGAAGAAGAGAUGUGUAAGUAACUGUGCACAUCUUGACGGUACCUUAUCAGAAAGCCACGGCUAACUACGUG
rnacentral:rRNA from 1 species